AACCUGCCGCAGGUUCGGGACUCACGCAGUGAGACAACGGAGCCGCUUGCGGCGACGGCCCGAAGGGCGAGCGAAGCGAGUCAUCCUGCACGACCCACCA
rnacentral:sRNA from 1 species